AUUGAACGCUGGCGGCAUGCUUUACACAUGCAAGUCGAACGGUAACAGGGUGCUUGCACCGCUGACGAGUGGCGAACGGGUGAGUAAUGCGUCGGAACGUGCCGAGUAGUGGGGGAUAACGCAGCGAAAGUUGUGCUAAUACCGCAUACGUACUGAGGUAGAAAGUGGGGGACCUUCGGGCCUCACGCUAUUAGAGCGGCCGACGUCGGAUUAGCUAGUAGGUGAGGUAAAGGCUCACCUAGGCGACGAUCAGUAGCGGGUCUGAGAGGAUGAUCCGCCACACUGGGACUGAGACACGGCCCAGACUCCUACGGGAGGCAGCAGUGGGGAAUUUUGGACAAUGGGCGAAAGCCUGAUCCAGCCAUGCCGCGUGUCUGAAGAAGGCCUUCGGGUUGUAAAGGACUUUUGUCAGGGAGGAAAUCCCUAGUGCUAAUAACACUGGGGGAUGACAGUACCUGAAGAAUAAGCACCGGCUAACUACGUGCCAGCCGCCGCAGUAA
rnacentral:rRNA from 1 species